rnacentral:rRNA from 1 species
AUGAACGCUGGCGGCGUGCCUAAUACAUGCAAGUCGCGCGCACAGACGAGGAGCUUGCUCCUCUGACGUUAGCGGCGGACGGGUGAGUAACACGUGGAUAACCUACCUAUAAGACUGGGAUAACUUCGGGAAACCGGAGCUAAUACCGGAUAAUAUAUUGAACCGCAUGGUUCAAUAGUGAAAGACGGUUUUGCUGUCACUUAUAGAUGGAUCCGCGCCGCAUUAGCUAGUUGGUAAGGUAACGGCUUACCAAGGCAACGAUGCGUAGCCGACCUGAGAGGGUGAUCGGCCACACUGGAACUGAGACACGGUCCAGACUCCCACGGGAGGCAGCAGUAGGGAAUCUUCCGCAAUGGGCGAAAGCUUGACGGAGCAACGCCGCGUGAGUGAUGAAGGUCUUCGGAUCGUAAAACUCUGUUAUUAGGGAAGAACAAAUGUGUAAGUAACUAUGCACGUCUUGACGGUACCUAAUCAGAAAGCCACGGCUAACUACGUG